UAAAAUAAUUAAGGGCACACAAAGGAUGCCUAGGUAGUAAGAGCCGAUGAAGGACGUGGUAAGCUGCGAUAAGCCUAGAUAAGUUGCAAUCGAACGUAAGAGUCUAGGAUUUCCGAAUGGAGCAAUCUAUUAAGAUGGAGUCUUAAUACGAAAGAGGGAACCACGUGAACUGAAACAUCUAAGUAACGUGAGGAAAAGAAAGUAAAAACGAUACCCAAAGUAGCGGCGAGCGAACUGGGUCAAGCCUAAACCUUAAAUAUGUCAAGGAUACAGCCGUUGUAUUUAAGGGGUUGAGGGACAAAGUAGUGAAGAACUGUAAGAUAUUCAAUAUAGUGUAUUGAUGAAUUAGAAUUGUAUGGAAAGAUAAACCGCAGAAGGUGAGAGUCCUGUAUAAGUAAAUCCUUACACAUAUAACUUUGCUCCCAAGUAACAUGGAACACGAGGAAUUCUGUGUGAAUCAGUGAGGACCAUAUCUCAUAAGGCUAAAUACUCUUACUAACCGAUAGCGCAUAGUACCGUGAGGGAAAGGUGAAAAGAACCCCUGGAGGGGAGUGAAAUAGAACCUGAAAUUGUGUGCUUACAAGCGGUCAGAGCCCAUUUGGGUGAUGGCGUGCCUUUUGGAGAAUGAUCCUGCGAGUUACGUUAAACGGCGAGGUUAAGUAUAACGAAGCCGAAGGGAAACCAAGUCUUAAUAGGGCGAUUUAGUCGUUUGGCGUAGACGCGAAACCUGGUGAUCUAAACCUGUCCAGGAUGAAGCUGUGGUAAGACACAGUGGAGGUCCUAACCCACCGCCGUUGAAAAGUUGGGGGAUGAGGUAGGUUUAGGGGUGAAAAGCCAAUCGAACCAGGAGAUAGCUCGUUCUCUCCGAAAUGCAUCUAGGUGCAGCCUUGAGUGUUCAAUUAUGGGGGUAGAGCACUGAAUGAUCUAGGGGGCAUAUUGCUUACUGAAAUCAAUCAAACUCCAAAUACCAUAAUUUAUAGCUCAGGAGUGAGACCAUGGGAGUUAACUUCCAUUGUCAAAAGGGAAACAACCCAGACCACCAGCUAAGGUCCCUAAUUAUAACUAAGUGGGAAAGGAGGUGGAGAUUCACAAACAACUAGGAGGUUGGCUUAGAAGCAGCCAUACCUUUAAAGAGUGCGUAAUAGCUCACUAGUCGAGAGUCUCUGCGCCGACAAUGUAACGGGGCUAAGUUAUAAACCGAAGCUGUGGAAUCCUUAUGGAUUGGUAGGAGAGCGUUCUGUAGGCUGUUGAAGAAGAAGGGUAACCAACUUUGGAGGUAUCAGAAGUGAGAAUGCAGGAAUAAGUAGCGAGAAAGGGGGCGAGAAUCCCCCUCGCCGGAAGACCAAGGUUUUCAGGGUAAAGCUUGUCUUCCCUGAGUAAGCCGGGACCUAAGCCCAGGCUAUAAUGCGUAGGCGAAUGGAAAACAGAUUAAUAUUUCUGUGCCAGUCAUUUAUUGUGAUGGAGGGACGCAGAAGGGUAUGUGCACGGACGAUCGGUUGUGUCCGUAGAAGUAUGUAGGGUGACUUAGUAGGUAAAUCCAUUAAGUUAUAUCUGAGGUAUGAUAUACAGUCGUAAGAUGAAUGUACAAAUCCCACGCUGCCAAGAAAAACUUCUAACGUUAAUAUAUGACUGCCCGUACUGUAAACCGACACAGGUGGUCAGGAUGAGAAAUCUAAGGCGGACAGGCUAACUCUCGUUAAGGAACUCUGCAAAAUAACCUCGUAACUUCGGGAGAAGAGGAGCCCUUGUGUGUGAGUAUACACGCGAUACAAAGCGCACGAGGGUCGCAGUGAAGAGGCUCAAGCAACUGUUUAACAAAAACACAGGUCUAUGCUAAGCUGUAAGGCGAUGUAUAUGGGCUGACACCUGCCCAGUGCUGGAAGGUUAAGAGGAGGAGUGAGAGCUCCGAAUUGAAGCCCCAGUGAACGGCGGCCGUAACUAUAACGGUCCUAAGGUAGCGAAAUUCCUUGUCGGGU
rnacentral:rRNA from 1 species